AUUGAACGCUGGCGGCAGGCUUCACACAUGCAAGUCGAGCGGAGAUGAGGUGCUUGCACCUUAUCGUAGCGGCGGACGGGUGAGUAAUGCUUAGGAAUCUGCGUCUUAGUGGGGGACCACAUUCCGAAAGGAAUGCUAAUACCGCAUACUUCCUACGGGAGAAGUGAGGGGAUCUUGGGACCUGGCGCUAAUAGAGGAGCCUAAGUCGGAUUGGCUAGUUGGUGUGGUAAAGGCCUACCAAGGCGACGAUAUGUGGCGGGCCUGAGAGGAUGAUCCGCCACACUGGGACUGAGACACCGCCCAGACUCCUACGGGAGGCAGCAGUGGGGAAUAUUGGACAAUGGGGGAAACCCUGAUCCAGCCAUGCCGCGUGUGUGAAGAAGGCCUUCGGGUUGUAAACCGCUUUUAGUCGGGAAGAAGAGACCACUCUUAAUACGGGUGGUUCUUGACGGUACCGGCGGAAUAAGCACCGGCUAACUACGUGCCAGCCGCCGCCGUAACAC
rnacentral:rRNA from 1 species